AUUGAACGCUGGCGGCAGGCCUAACACAUGCAAGUCGAACGAGAGGCGGACGGGUGAGUAAUGUCUGGGAAACUGCCUGAUGGAGGGGGAUAACUACUGGAAACGGUAGCUAAUACCGCAUCCCAUCGGACGUGCCCAGAGUGGAUUAGCUAGUAGGUGGGGUAAGGGUUCACAUAGGCGACGAUCCCUAGCUGGUCUGACAGGAUGACCAGCCACACUGGAACUGAGACACGGUCCAGACUCAUACGGGAGACAGCAGUGGGAGAUAUUGCACAAUGGGCGCAAGCCUGCUGCAGCCAUGCCGCGUGUAUGGUGAGGGCCUUCGAGUUGUAAAGUACUUUCAGCGAGGAGGCGUUACUCGCAGAAGAAGCACCGGCUAACUCCGUGCCAGCAGCGGCGGUAAUAC
rnacentral:rRNA from 1 species